rnacentral:rRNA from 1 species
GUCCUUUAGAAAUUAAUUAUAGGUCUGACCUGCCCGGUGAUUUAUUAAACGGCCGCAGUACUUUGACUGUGCGAAGGUAGCAUAAUCAUUUGUCUCUUAAUUGGAGGCUUGUAUGAAUGGUUGGACGAGGAAUUGACUUUCUUUACUUAAUUUUUAUGAAUUUGAUUUUUGAGUUAAAAAGCUUAGAUUGUUUUGCAAGACGAGAAGACCCUAUAGAAUUUUAUUAAAUAGGUUUUAUUUUUUGUUUAGUUUAUAAUUGGUUAAUAAAAUUUAUUUAAUUUUGUUGGGGCGACAGUGAAAAUUAAAUAACUUUCAUUUUUUAUUUUUCAUUAAUUUAUGUAUUUUUUGACCCUUUAUUAUGGGUUAUGAGUUUAAAUUACCUUAGGGAUAACAGCGUAAUUUUUUCGGAGAGUUCUUAUUGAUGAAAUAAGGUUGCGACCUCGAUGUUGGAUUAAGAAAAGUUUUGGGUGUAGGGGCUCAUAUUACUAAGUCUGUUCGACUUUUAAUU